UCGAAGAUCGGGAAUAGGAGUAUAUCGAACUCCUAGUACUGUCCGAGGUAGCCUGUGGAUAGCAGAUAUCGUCAAGGAUUAUAGUUGGCUUUACUACUCCAAAAACUAUAGGUUUACUGCCUUUGUGCACUUUUGUUCCUUGUAGGCCCACGAGUCACUGUAAAGUAAAUUUCAUAUCCCAGUUACCUA
rnacentral:sRNA from 10 species